rfam:Dichanthelium oligosanthes cultivar Kellogg 1175 unplaced genomic scaffold Do_version_2_scaffold1045, whole genome shotgun sequence.
AUACUUACCUGGACGGGGUCGAUKGGCGAUCAAGAAGGCCCAUGGCCUAGACCAGUGGCCCACAUUGCACUUUGUGGGUGCGCUGGUCUACCAUCUCCCCAAGUGGGAGAGUGGACGUCRUAAUUUGUGGUAGAGGGGGUACGCGUUCGCGCGGCCCCCGC